rnacentral:rRNA from 1 species
UACGUACCGUACGACCGUUAUUCGGAAUUACUGGGCUUAAAGGGUUUGUAGGCGGCCUUGUAAGUCAGGUGUGAAAUCCCUCGGCUCAACCGAGGAAUAGCGCUUGAUACUGCAUGGCUUGAGGGAGACAGAGGUACGCGGAACUUAGGGUGGAGCGGUGAAAUGCGUUGAUAUCCUAAGGAACACCGGUGGCGAAAGCGGCGUACUGGGUCUUAUCUGACGCUGAGGCACGAAAGCUAGGGGAGCGAACGGG